GCCUGACGCAGCAACGCCGCGUGCGGGAUGAAGGCCUCGGUGUAACCGCUUCAGCAGGGAUGAAACUGACAGUACCUGCAGAAGAAGCCCCGGCUAACUACGUGCCAGCAGCCGCGGUAAUACGUAGGGGGCGAGCGUUAUCCGGAUUCAUUGGGCGUAAAGAGCGCGUAGGCGGCUUGUUAAGCGAGAUGUGAAAACCGGGGGCUUAACCCGCGGCCUGCAUCUCGAACUGGCAGGCUUGAGUCUGGUAGAGGAGUGUGGAAUCCCCAGUGUAGCGGUGAAAUGCGCAGAUAUUGGGAGGAACACCAGUGGCGAAGGCGGCACUCUGGGCCACGACUGACGCUGAGGCGCGAAAGCUAGGGGAGCGAACAGGAUUAGAUACCCUGGUAGUCCUAGCCGUAAACGAUGGGCACUAGGUGUGGGGGGUAUAACUCCCUCCGUGCCGCAGCUAACGCAUUAAGUGCCCCGCCUGGGGAGUACGGCCGCAAGGCUA
rnacentral:rRNA from 1 species